rnacentral:rRNA from 1 species
CACGUAGGGUGCGAGCGUUGUCCGGAAUUAUUGGGCGUAAAGAGCUCGUAGGCGGUGUGUCGCGUCGGCCGUGAAAACCUGCAGCUUAACUGUGGGCUUGCGGUCGAUACGGGCAUCACUGGAGUUCGGCAGGGGAGACUGGAAUUCCUGGUGGAGCGGUGAAAUGCGUAGAUAUCUAGAGGAACGCCUGAGGCGAAAGCGGGGCACUGGGCCGAUUCUGACGCUGAGACGCGAAAGCGUGGGGAGCAAACAGG